AGAGUUUGAUCAUGGCUCAGAACGAACGCUGGCGGCAUGCCUAACACAUGCAAGUCGAACGGGAUCCGGACUUCGGUCCGGUGAGAGUGGCGGACGGGUGAGUAACACGUGGGAACCUGCCUUUUGGUUCGGGAUAACCGCGGGAAACUGCGGCUAAUACCCGAUGCUCCCGAGAGGGAAAAGAUUUAUCGCCAGAAGAGGGGCCCGCGUCCGAUUAGGUAGUUGGUGGGGUAAUGGCCUACCAAGCCGACGAUCGGUAGCUGGUCUGAGAGGAUGAUCAGCCACACUGGGACUGAGAUACGGCCCAGACUCCUACGGGAGGCAGCAGUGGGGAAUAUUGGACAAUGGGGGCAACCCUGAUCCAGCAAUGCCGCGUGAGUGAUGAAGGCCUUAGGGUUGUAAAGCUCUUUUGCCAGGGAAGAUGAUGACUGUACCUGGAGAAUAAGCCCCGGCUAACUUCGUG
rnacentral:rRNA from 1 species